rnacentral:rRNA from 1 species
GAUGAACGCUGGCGGCGUGCCUAAUACAUGCAAGUCGAGCGAACAGACGAGGAGCUUGCUCCUCUGACGUUAGCGGUGGACGGGUGAGUAACACGUGGAUAACCUACCUAUAAGACUGGGAUAACUUCGGGAAACCGGAGCUAAUACCGGAUAAUAUAUUGAACCGCAUGGUUCAAUAGUGAAAGACGGUUUUGCUGUCACUUAUAGAUGGAUCCGCGCCGCAUUAGCUAGUUGGUAAGGUAACGGCUUACCAAGGCAACGAUGCGUAGCCGACCUGAGAGGGUGAUCGGCCACACUGGAACUGAGACACGGUCCAGACUCCUACGGGAGGCAGCAGUAGGGAAUCUUCCGCAAUGGGCGAAAGCCUGACGGAGCAACGCCGCGUGAAUGAUGAAGGUCUUCGGAUCGUAAAACUCUGUUAUUAGGGAAGAACAAAUGUGUAAGUAACUAUGCACGUCUUGACGGUACCUAAUCAGAAAGCCACGGCUAACUACGUG